rnacentral:lncRNA from 1 species
GGUGUGAGGUAGUUCUGAUAUGGAGGUCUAUGACAGCGGUGUGAGGUAGUUCUGAUAUGGAGGUCUAUGACAGCGGUGUGAGGUAGCUCUGAUAUGGAGGUCUAUGACAGCGGUGUGAGGUAGCUCUGAUAUGGAGGACUAUGACAGCGGUGUGAGGUAGUUCUGAUAUGGAGGACUAUGACAGGGUGUGAGGUAGUUCUGAUACUAAGGACUGUGACAGGGUGUGAGGUAGCUCUGAUAUUGAGGACUGUGACAGGGUGUGAGGUAGCUCUGAUACGAAGGACUGUGACAGGGUGUGAGGUAGCUCUGAUAUGGAGGUCUAUGACAGCGGUGUGAGGUAGUUCUGAUAUGGAGGACUGUGACAGGGUGUGAGGUAGUUCUGAUAUGGAGGACUGUGACAGGGUGUGAGGUAGCUCUGAUAUGGAGGACUAUGACAGGGUGUGAGGUAGCUCUGAUAUGGAGGACUGUGACAGGGUGUGAGGUAGCUCUGAUAUGGAGGACUAUGACAGGGUGUGAGGUAGUUCUGAUACGAAGG